ensembl:snRNA U6 U6 spliceosomal RNA
GUGCUCGCUUUGGCAGCACAUAUAUUAAAAUUGGAAUGAUACAGAUAAGAUUAGCAUGGCCUCUGCACAAAGAUGACACAUAAAUUUGUGAAACAUUCCAUAUUUUU